rnacentral:rRNA from 1 species
UACGUAGGUGGCAAGCGUUGUCCGGAUUUACUGGGCGUAAAGGGCUCGUAGGUGGCCAACUAAGUCAGACGUGAAAUCCCUCGGCUCAACCGGGGAACUGCGUCUGAUACUGGAUGGCUUGAAUUCGGGAGAGGGAUGCAGAAUUCCAGGUGUAGCGGUGAAAUGCGUAGAUAUCUGGAGGAAUACCGGUGGCGAAGGCGGCAUCCUGGACCGAGAUUGACACUGAUGAGCGAAAGCCAGGGGAGCAAACGGG